rnacentral:rRNA from 1 species
AAUGAACGCUGGCGGCAUGCCUUACACAUGCAAGUCGAACGGCAGCACGGGAGCAAUCCUGGUGGCGAGUGGCGAACGGGUGAGUAAUAUAUCGGAACAUGCCCAGUCGUGGGGGAUAACGUAGCGAAAGCUACGCUAAUACCGCAUACGAUCUACGGAUGAAAGCGGGGGAUCGCAAGACCUCGCGCGAUUGGAGCGGCCGAUAUCAGAUUAGCUAGUUGGUGAGGUAAAGGCUCACCAAGGCGACGAUCUGUAGCUGGUCUGAGAGGACGACCAGCUACACUGGAACUGAGACACGGUCCAGACUCCUACGGGAGGCAGCAGUGGGGAAUUUUGGACAAUGGGCGCAAGCCUGAUCCAGCAAUGCCGCGUGCAGGAUGAAGGCCUUCGGGUUGUAAACUGCUUUUGUACAGAACGAAACGGCUCUUUCUAAUACAAGGGGCUAAUGACGGUACUGUAAGAAUAAGCACCGGCUAACUACGUGCCAGCAGCCGCCGUAA